rnacentral:rRNA from 1 species
AAUAGAUACCCUGUUAGUCCACGCCGUAAACGAUGAGUGCUAAGUGUUAGAGGGUUUCCGCCCUUUAGUGCUGCAGCAAACGCAUUAAGCACUCCGCCUGGGGAGUACGGUCGCAAGACUGAAACUCAAAGGAAUUGACGGGGGCCCGCACAAGCGGUGGAGCAUGUGGUUUAAUUCGAAGCAACGCGAAGAACCUUACCAGGUCUUGACAUCCUUCGCUACUUCUAGAGAUAGAAGGUUCCCCUUCGGGGGACGGAGUGACAGGUGGUGCAUGGUUGUCGUCAGCUCGUGUCGUGAGAUGUUGGGUUAAGUCCCGCAACGAGCGCAACCCUUGAUCUUAGUUGCCAGCAUUCAGUUGGGCACUCUAAGAUGACUGCCGGUGACAAACCGGAGGAAGGUGGGGAUGACGUCAAAUCAUCAUGCCCCUUAUGACCUGGGCUACACACGUGCUACAAUGGAUGGUACAAAGGGCUGCAAGACUGCGAAGUCAAGCCAAUCCCAUAAAACCAUUCUCAGUUCGGAUUGCG